GAUGAACGCUGGCGGCGUGCCUAAUACAUGCAAGUCGAGCGAAUGGAUUAAGAGCUUGCUCUUAUGAAGUUAGCGGCGGACGGGUGAGUAACACGUGGGUAACCUGCCCAUAAGACUGGGAUAACUCCGGGAAACCGGGGCUAAUACCGGAUAACAUUUUGAACCGCAUGGUUCGAAAUUGAAAGGCGGCUUCGGCUGUCACUUAUGGAUGGACCCGCGUCGCAUUAGCUAGUUGGGGAGGUAACGGCUCACCAAGGCAACGAUGCGUAGCCGAACUGGGAGGGUUCUCGGCCACACUGGGACUGAGACACGGCCCAGACGCCUACGGGAGGCAGCAGUAGGGAAUCUUCCGCAAUGGACGAAAGUCUGACGGAGCAACGCCGCGUGAGUGAUGAAGGCUUUCGGGUCGUAAAACUCUGUUGUUAGGGAAGAACAAGUGCUAGUUGAAUAAGCUGGCACCUUGACGGUACCUAACCAGAAAGCCACGGCUAACUACGUGCCAGCAGCCGCAGUAA
rnacentral:rRNA from 1 species